AGAGUUUGAUCCUGGCUCAGAUUGAACGCUGGCGGAAUGCUUUACACAUGCAAGUCGAGCGGCAGCGCGGGGCAACCUGGCGGCGAGCGGCGAACGGGUGAGUAACACAUCGGAACGUGCCCAGACGUGGGGGAUAGCCCGGCGAAAGCCGGAUUAAUACCGCAUACGAUCUACGGAUGAAAGCGGGGGAUCGCAAGACCUCGCGCGUCUGGAGCGGCUGAUGGCAGAUUAGGUAGUUGGUGGGGUAAAGGCUUACCAAGCCUGCGAUCUGUAGCUGGUCUGAGAGGUUGAUCCCCCACACUGGCACUGAGAUACGGGCCAGACUCCUACGGGAGGCAGCAGUGGGGAAUUUUGGACAAUGGGCGCAAGCCUGAUCCAGCCAUUCCGCGUGCAGGACGAAGGCCUUCGGGUUGUAAACUGCUUUUGUACGGAACGAAAAGGCUCUUUCUAAUAAAGAGGGCUCAUGACGGUACCGUAAGAAUAAGCACCGGCUAACUACGUGCCAGCAGCCGCGGUAAAACGUAGGAGGCGAGCGUUAUCCGGAUUCACUGGGCGUAAAGCGCGUGCAGGUGGUUUGGUAAGUUGGGCGUGAAAGCUCCCGGCUCAACUGGGAGAGGUCGUUCAAUACUAUCAGGCUAGAGAGCAGAAGAGGAAGAUGGAAUUUCCGGUGUAGCGGUGAAAUGCGUAGAGAUGUGGAGGAACACCGAUGGCGAAGGCAGCCCCCUGGGUCGACACUGACGCUCAUGCACGAAAGCGUGGGGAGCAAACAGGAUUAGAUACCCUGGUAGUCCACGCCCUAAACGAUGCGAACUAGGUGUUGGGGAAGGAGACUUCUUUAGUACCGUAGCUAACGCGUGAAGUUCGCCGCCUGGGGAGUACGGUCGCAAGAUUAAAACUCAAAGGAAUUGACGGGGACCCGCACAAGCGGUGGAUGAUGUGGAUUAAUUCGAUGCAACGCGAAAAACCUUACCUACCCUUGACAUGCCCGGAACCCUGGUGAGAGCUGGGGGUGCCCGAAAGGGAAUCGGGACACAGGUGCUGCAUGGCUGUCGUCAGCUCGUGUCGUGAGAUGUUGGGUUAAGUCCCGCAACGAGCGCAACCCUUGUUCUCAGUUGCCAGCAUUAAGUUGGGCACUCUGAGGAGACUGCCGGUGUCAAACCGGAGGAAGGUGGGGAUGACGUCAAGUCCUCAUGGCCCUUAUGCCUGGGGCUACACACGUGCUACAAUGGUGGUUACAAAGCGCAGCGACUUCGUGAGGGGAAGCUAAUCGCAAAAAAGCCAUCUCAGUCCGGAUUGGAGUCUGCAACUCGACUCCAUGAAGUUGGAAUCGCUAGUAAUCCUGGAUCAGCAUGCCAGGGUGAAUACGUUCCCGGGCCUUGUACACACCGCCCGUCACACCAUGGGAGUCGUCUGGACCAGAAGUUGCUGGCCCAACCCGCAAGGGAGGGAGGCACCUAAGGUCUGAACGGCGACUGGGGUGAAGUCGUAACAAGGUAGCCG
rnacentral:rRNA from 1 species